AUUGAACGCUGGCGGCAGGCUUAACACAUGCAAGUCGAGCGGAGAGAGGUAGCUUGCUACUGAUCUUAGCGGCGGACGGGUGAGUAAUACUUAGGAAUCUGCCUAUUAGUGGGGGACAACAUUUCGAAAGGAAUGCUAAUACCGCAUACGUCCUACGGGAGAAAGCAGGGGAUCUUCGGACCUUGCGCUAAUAGAUGAGCCUAAGUCGGAUUAGCUAGUUGGUGGGGUAAAGGCCUACCAAGGCGACGAUCUGUAGCGGGUCUGAGAGGAUGAUCCGCAAGACUGGGACUGAGAGACGGCCCAGACGCCUACGGGAGGCAGCAGUGGGGAAUACUGGACAAUGGGCGCAAGCCUGAUUCAGCCAUGCCGCGUGUGUGAAGAAGGCCUUCGGGUUGUAAAGCACUUUCAGUAAGGAGGAAGCGUUGAGUGUUAAUAGUACUCAGCGUUGACGUUACUUACAGAAGAAGCACCGGCUAACUCUGUGCCAGCAGCCGCCGUAACAC
rnacentral:rRNA from 1 species